UAGGGAAUCUUCCACAAUGGACGCAAGUCUGAUGGAGCAACGCCGCGUGAGUGAAGAAGGUCUUCGGAUACGUAAACUCUGUUGUUAGAGAAGAACACGAGUGAGAGUAACUGUUCAUUCGAUGACGGUAUCUAACCAGCAAGUCACGGCUAACUACGUGC
rnacentral:rRNA from 1 species